UGGGGAAUAUUGGACAAUGGGGGAAACCCUGAUCCAGCAAUGCCGCGUGAGUGAAGAAGGCCUUAGGGUUGUAAAGCUCUUUCGCCCGCGAAGAUAAUGACGGUAGCGGGAGAAGAAGCCCCGGCUAACUCCGUGCCAGCAGCCGCGGUAAUACGGAGGGGGCUAGCGUUGUUCGGAAUUACUGGGCGUAAAGCGUACGUAGGCGGAUGCGCAAGUUGGGGGUGAAAUCCCGGGGCUUAACCUCGGAAUUGCCCUCAAAACUGCACGUCUUGAGACCGAGAGAGNUAAGGGGAAUUCCUAGUGUAGAGGUGAAAUUCGUAGAUAUUAGAAAGAACACCAGUGGCGAAGGCGCCUUACUGGCUCGGUACUGACGCUGAGGUACGAAAGCGUGGGGAGCAAACA
rnacentral:rRNA from 1 species